rnacentral:rRNA from 1 species
UACGUAGGGUGCGAGCGUUAAUCGGAAUUACUGGGCGUAAAGCGUGCGCAGGCGGUUCGUUGUGUCGGCGGUGAAAGCCCCGGGCUUAACCUGGGAAUGGCCGUUGAAACUGGCGAACUGGAGUGUGGCAGAGGGGGGUGGAAUUCCGCGUGUAGCAGUGAAAUGCGUAGAGAUGCGGAGGAACACCGAUGGCGAAGGCGGAUCUCUGGGCCAUAACUGACGCUGAGGAGCGAAAGCAUGGGGAGCGAACAGG